GAUGAGCGCUAGCUACAGGCUUAACACAUGCAAGUCGGGGGGAAACGACAUCGAAAGCUUGCUUUUGAUGGGCGUCGACCGGCGCACGGGUGAGUAACGCGUAUCCAACCUGCCCACCACUUGGGGAUAACCUUGCGAAAGUAAGACUAAUACCCAAUGAUAUCUCUAGAAGACAUCUGAAGGAGAUUAAAGAUUUAUCGGUGAUGGAUGGGGAUGCGUCUGAUUAGCUUGUUGGCGGGGUAACGGCCCACCAAGGCGACGAUCAGUAGGGGUUCUGAGAGGAAGGUCCCCCACAUUGGAACUGAGACACGGUCCAAACUCCUACGGGAGGCAGCAGUGAGGAAUAUUGGUCAAUGGGCGAGAGCUUGAACCAGCCAAGUAGCGUGCAGGAUGACGGCCCUAUGGGUUGUAAACUGCUUUUAUAAGGGAAUAAAGUGAGCCUCGUGAGGCUUUUUGCAUGUACCUUAUGAAUAAGGACCGGCUAAUUCCGUGCCAGCCGCCGCCGUAA
rnacentral:rRNA from 1 species